AAAGAAACCAACCGGGAUUGCCUCAGUAACGGCGAGUGAAGCGGCAAGAGCUCAAAUUUGAAAGCUGGCUCCUUCGGGGUCCGCAUUGUAAUUUGCAGAGGAUGCUUCGGGUGCGGCCCCUGUCUAAGUGCCCUGGAACGGGCCGUCAGAGAGGGUGAGAAUCCCGUCUGGGAUGGGGUGUCCGCGCCCGUGUGAAGCUCCUUCGACGAGUCGAGUUGUUUGGGAAUGCAGCUCUAAAUGGGUGGUAAAUUUCAUCUAAAGCUAAAUACUGGCCGGAGACCGAUAGCGCACAAGUAGAGUGAUCGAAAGAUGAAAAGCACUUUGAAAAGAGAGUUAAAAAGCACGUGAAAUUGUUGAAAGGGAAGCGCUUGCGACCAGACUCGCCUCCAGGGUUCAGCCGGCAUUCGUGCCGGUGUACUUCCCUGGGGGCGGGCCAGCGUCGGUUUGGGCGGCCGGUCAAAGGCUCCCGGAAUGUAGUGCCCUUCGGGGCACCUUAUAGCCGGGAGUGCAAUGCGGCCAGCCUGGACCGAGGAACGCGCUUCGGCACGGACGCUGGCAUAAUGGUCGCAAACGAC
rnacentral:rRNA from 3 species